UUUUCUAAUCCAGGAUGAUUCAUAUCUCGAGAGUUACAUAAGCACCAUUGGGGUUGACUUUAAAAUUCGCACUGUGGAACAGGAUGGAAAGACCAUCAAACUGCAAAUUUGGGACACUGCUGGGCAAGAACGUUUUAGGACGAUCACUAGCAGCUACUAUCGUGGAGCACAUGGAAUUAUUGUGGUUUAUGAUGUGACGGAUCAAGAAAGCUUGUAUGCAGUCAGAGACAAGGAAGCUUGGC